ACAGACUUAGUCCUAACCUUACAGUUAAUUUUUGCCAAACAUAUACAUGCAAGUAUCCGCACCCCAGUGUGAAUGCCCUAAUUUCCUUACUCUAAUUUACCAGGAAACAGGAGCGGACAUCAGGCACACCCCUUAACGUAGCCCAAGACGUCUUGUUCGGCCACACCCCCACGGGUAUUCAGCAGUAAUUAACAUUAAGCAAUAAGUGUAAACUUGACUUAGUUAUGGCAAUCUACAGGGCUGGUAAAUCUUGUGCCAGCUACCGCGGUCAUACAGGAAGCCCAAACUAACCGUCAUCCGGCGUAAAGAGUGGCGCUAUAUUAUCGUCCAACUAAAACCGAAAUGCAACUAAGCUGUCACAAGCCUAUAUUGCACCUAAGACCAUCCUCAAAACGAUUUUAGCACCAAUGAUCAACAAAACACCACGAAAGCCAAGGCACAAACUGGGAUUAGAUACCCCACUAUGCUCGGCCCUAAAUCUAGAUGUUCCCACUACCAAAACAUCCGCCCGAGAACUACGAGCACAAACGCUUAAAACUCUAAGGACUUGGCGGUGCUCCAAACCCACCUAGAGGAGCCUGUUCUAUAAUCGAUAACCCACGAUUCACCUAACCCCUUCUUGCCCAAAGCAGCCUACAUACCGCCGUCCCCAGCUCACCUUCCCUGAAAGCCCCGCAGUGAGCACAACAACAUCCCGCUAACAAGACAGGUCAAGGUAUAGCCCAUGAAGGGGAAGAAAUGGGCUACAUUUUCUAUAAUAGAAAAUACCAACGAAAGGGGGUCUGAAAUAACCCCCAGAAGGAGGAUUUAGCAGUAAAGAGGGGCAAGAAUACCCUCUUAAACUUGGCCCUGGAGCACGUACAUACCGCCCGUCACCCUCUUCACAGCUACCAAAUACCCCCUACUUAAACCCAACUAAAAAAGUUAAAAGAUGAGGUAAGUCGUAACAAGGUAAGUGUACUGGAAAGUGCACUUAGCAU
rnacentral:ncRNA from 1 species